rnacentral:sRNA from 1 species
GUAGGUGAACCUGCGGAAGGAUCAUUGUCGAUACCUGUCCAAAACAGAACGACCCGCGAACCAAAGAUCACCACUCUCGGUGGGCCGGUUUCUUAGCCGAUUCCUUGCCCGCCGGAUCCGUGGUUUCGCGUAUCGGCAUGCUCGGGAGCUUUUAUCUCGGUCUUGUCGUGCGCGUUGCUUCCGGAUAUCACAAAACCCCAGCACGAAAAGUGUCAAGGAACAUGCAAACGAACGGCUGGCAUUCGCCUCCCCGGAGACGGAGUGUGGGCGGAUGCUGUGCUGCGAACUGAAGUCUAAAACGACUCUCGGCAACGGAUAUCUCGG